rnacentral:rRNA from 1 species
GGGUUGUGAGGUUAAGCGACUAAGCGUACACGGUGGAUGCCCUGGCAGUCAGAGGCGAUGAAGGACGUGCUAAUCUGCGAAAAGCGUCGGUAAGGUGAUAUGAACCGUUACAGCCGGCGAUGUCCGAAUGGGGAAACCCAGUGUGAUUCGUCACACUAUCGUUAACUGAAUACAUAGGUUAACGAGGCGAACCGGGGGAACUGAAACAUCUAAGUACCCCGAGGAAAAGAAAUCAACCGAGAUUCCCCCAGUAGCGGCGAGCGAACGGGGAGCAGCCCAGAGUCUGAAUCAGCUUGUGUGUUAGUGGAACGGUCUGGAAAGUCCGACGGUACAGGGUGAUAGUCCCGUACACCAAAAUGCACAGGCUGUGAACUCGAAGAGUAGGGCGGGACACGUGGUAUCCUGUCUGAAUAUGGGGGGACCAUCCUCCAAGGCUAAAUACUCCUGACUGACCGAUAGUGAACCAGUACCGUGAGGGAAAGGCGAAAAGAACCCCGGCGAGGGGAGUGAAAAAGAACCUGAAACCGUGUACGUACAAGCAGUGGGAGCACCUUCGGGUGUGACUGCGUACCUUUUGUAUAAUGGGUCAGCGACUUAUAUUCUGUAGCAAGGUUAACCGUAUAGGGGAGCCGCAGGGAAACCGAGUCUUAACUGGGCGUUAAGUUGCAGGGUAUAGACCCGAAACCCGGUGAUCUAGCCAUGGGCAGGUUGAAGGUUGGGUAACACUAACUGGAGGACCGAACCGACUAAUGUUGAAAAAUUAGCGGAUGACUUGUGGCUGGGGGUGAAAGGCCAAUCAAACCGGGAGAUAGCUGGUUCUCCCCGAAAGCUAUUUAGGUAGCGCCUCGUGAAUUCAUCUUCGGGGGUAGAGCACUGUUUCGGCUAGGGGGUCAUCCCGACUUACCAACCCGAUGCAAACUACGAAUACCGAAGAAUGUUAUCACGGGAGACACACGGCGGGUGCUAACGUCCGUCGUGAAGAGGGAAACAACCCAGACCGCCAGCUAAGGUCCCAAAGUCAUGGUUAAGUGGGAAACGAUGUGGGAAGGCACAGACAGCCAGGAUGUUGGCUUAGAAGCAGCCAUCAUUUAAAGAAAGCGUAAUAGCUCACUGGUCGAGUCGGCCUGCGCGGAAGAUGUAACGGGGCUAAACCAUGCACCGAAGCUGCGGCAGCGACACUAUGUGUUGUUGGGUAGGGGAGCGUUCUGUAAGCCUGCGAAGGUGACCUGUGAGGGUUGCUGGAGGUAUCAGAAGUGCGAAUGCUGACAUAAGUAACGAUAAAGCGGGUGAAAAGCCCGCUCGCCGGAAGACCAAGGGUUCCUGUCCAACGUUAAUCGGGGCAGGGUGAGUCGACCCCUAAGGCGAGGCCGAAAGGCGUAGUCGAUGGGAAACAGGUUAAUAUUCCUGUACUUGGUGUUACUGCGAAGGGGGGACGGAGAAGGCUAUGUUAGCCGGGCGACGGUUGUCCCGGUUUAAGCAUGUAGGCUGAUUAUCCAGGCAAAUCCGGAUAAUCAAGGCUGAGGUGUGAUGACGAGGCACUACGGUGCUGAAGUAACAAAUGCCCUGCUUCCAGGAAAAGCCUCUAAGCAUCAGGUAACAUCAAAUCGUACCCCAAACCGACACAGGUGGUCAGGUAGAGAAUACCAAGGCGCUUGAGAGAACUCGGGUGAAGGAACUAGGCAAAAUGGUGCCGUAACUUCGGGAGAAGGCACGCUGGUGUGUAGGUGAAGUCCCUGCGGAUGGAGCUGAGACCAGUCGAAGAUACCAGCUGGCUGCAACUGUUUAUUAAAAACACAGCACUGUGCAAACACGAAAGUGGACGUAUACGGUGUGACGCCUGCCCGGUGCCGGAAGGUUAAUUGAUGGGGUUAUCCGUAAGGAGAAGCUCUUGAUCGAAGCCCCGGUAAACGGCGGCCGUAACUAUAACGGUCCUAAGGUAGCGAAAUUCCUUGUCGGGUAAGUUCCGACCUGCACGAAUGGCGUAAUGAUGGCCAGGCUGUCUCCACCCGAGACUCAGUGAAAUUGAACUCGCUGUGAAGAUGCAGUGUACCCGCGGCAAGACGGAAAGACCCCGUGAACCUUUACUAUAGCUUGACACUGAACAUUGAGCCUUGAUGUGUAGGAUAGGUGGGAGGCUUUGAAGCGUGGACGCCAGUCUGCGUGGAGCCAACCUUGAAAUACCACCCUUUAAUGUUUGAUGUUCUAACGUUGGCCCCUUACCGGGGUUGCGGACAGUGUCUGGUGGGUAGUUUGACUGGGGCGGUCUCCUCCCAAAGCGUAACGGAGGAGCACGAAGGUUAGCUAAUCCUGGUCGGACAUCAGGAGGUUAGUGCAAUGGCAUAAGCUAGCUUGACUGCGAGCGUGACGGCGCGAGCAGGUGCGAAAGCAGGUCAUAGUGAUCCGGUGGUUCUGAAUGGAAGGGCCAUCGCUCAACGGAUAAAAGGUACUCCGGGGAUAACAGGCUGAUACCGCCCAAGAGUUCAUAUCGACGGCGGUGUUUGGCACCUCGAUGUCGGCUCAUCACAUCCUGGGGCUGAAGUAGGUCCCAAGGGUAUGGCUGUUCGCCAUUUAAAGUGGUACGCGAGCUGGGUUUAGAACGUCGUGAGACAGUUCGGUCCCUAUCUGCCGUGGGCGCUGGAGAAUUGAGGGGGGCUGCUCCUAGUACGAGAGGACCGGAGUGGACGCAUCACUGGUGUUCGGGUUGUCAUGCCAAUGGCACUGCCCGGUAGCUAAAUGCGGAAGAGAUAAGUGCUGAAAGCAUCUAAGCACGAAACUUGCCCCGAGAUGAGUUCUCCCUGAGACUUUAAGUCUCCUGAAGGAACGUUAAAGACGAUGACGUUGAUAGGCCGGGUGUGUAAGCGCAGCGAUGCGUUGAGCUAACCGGUACUAAUGAACCGUGAGGCUUAACCUUACAACGCCGAAG